GAGGUGAAAGGGACUGCCUGGAGUUUGUGCUUUGUGCCUGAAAUCAAGCAGAAGAAGAGAGACUGGGAAGAAUCUAGUUCCUGUUAUGGGAGACAGCUCCUAGCAGAGGGAGCAGGGAACGAGACAGAGAGGGGAGAGAGUUCCAGGGGCAUGUAGCUGGAGAGAAAAUUGGGGUCUCAGGGACAGGGAUCUAGCAGUGGAAGAAGGUCCCUCAGUCUAGCAGGAGGGAGUCUGGGAAUGGGGGCAUAGCUGACAGGAGCAGGGGACCAGAGAGGAUAUGGAUGUCUGGGGAACAAGGGGCCUGGAGGCUCAGGGAUGGGGGAACAAAGAAGAACGGGGAUCCUUGGGGCAGUGGGAUAGGGAGAAGAAGUAAAUCCAGGGCCAGAAGGGAGGGCAGUAAGUGCAAGGGAAUAGCUAGGAAAUGGGGGUCAGUGGAAGGGAAAGAGCAGAGAAAUGGAAGUCCAGAGUCAAGAGACUGGAGCAGGAGUCCUGAAGAAGGAGGUCCCCACAUAUCCACAUCUACCAUGGUUGGUUCGAAUUUAGUUCAGAGCUGACCAAGAUGACCGUGGAAGGUCAAACCCAGGAACCUUCUGCAUGGGAACUGGCACAAGCUACCUUGUCAAGAUGAUCAUGGAAGGAGAGGGUGCAGUCGAGUUUCAUUUCGAGAUAUGUUGGAGUGUAAUCGUGUUGCACAUUUUUACCACAGAAAGCUACUUUCAGUGUGUUUUUGGCACUCUUAUUAUCAAGAUGAAAUGCACUUACUAUUGUUUUUCCAGGGUUUGGUUUGAGCCUCCAUUUCCGGAAAUAUUGUUCCAUAUUUUGGAGGUCCUCAGUUAAUGCUUUCUCAAUGUCAUGGAGGUUUGAUGCUUGGAU